rnacentral:rRNA from 1 species
UACGAAGGGUGCAAGCGUUAAUCGGAAUUACUGGGCGUAAAGGGUGCGUAGGCGGUUGUCUAAGUCUGUCGUGAAAUCCCCGGGCUCAACCUGGGAAUGGCGAUGGAUACUGGGCAGCUAGAGUGUGUCAGAGGAUGGUGGAAUUCCCGGUGUAGCGGUGAAAUGCGUAGAGAUCGGGAGGAACAUCAGUGGCGAAGGCGGCCAUCUGGGACAACACUGACGCUGAAGCACGAAAGCGUGGGGAGCAAACAGG